rnacentral:miRNA from 1 species
UUGAGAACUGAAUUCCAAGGGUG